rnacentral:rRNA from 1 species
AGUGAACGCUGGCGGUAGGCCUAACACAUGCAAGUCGAACGGCAGCACAGUAAGAGCUUGCUCUUACGGGUGGCGAGUGGCGGACGGGUGAGGAAUACAUCGGAAUCUACUUUUUCGUGGGGGAUAACGUAGGGAAACUUACGCUAAUACCGCAUACGACCUACGGGUGAAAGCAGGGGAUCUUCGGACCUUGCGCGAUUGAAUGAGCCGAUGUCGGAUUAGCUAGUUGGCGGGGUAAAGGCCCACCAAGGCGACGAUCCGUAGCUGGUCUGAGAGGAUGAUCUGCCACACUGGAACUGAGACACGGUCCAGACUCCUACGGGAGGCAGCAGUGGGGAAUAUUGGACAAUGGGCGCAAGCCUGAUCCAGCCCUACCGCGUGGGUGAAGAAGGCCUUCGGGUUGUACAACCCUUUUGUUGGGAAAGAAAAGCAGCAGGUUAAUCCCCCGCUGUUCUGACGGUACCCAAAGAAUAAGCACCGGCUAACUUCGUG